AGUGAACGCUGGCGGCAGGCCUAACACAUGCAAGUCGAACGGCAGCACAGGAGAGUUUGACCUCUGGGUGUCGAGAGGCGGACGGGUGAGGAACACAUCUGAAUUUACUUAAUCGUGGGGGAUAACUCAGGGAAACUUACGCUAUUACCGCAUACUACCUCCGGGUCAACGAUGGGUAUCGCAAGACCUCUCUCGAUUCACUGAGCCGAUGUCGGAUUUGCUAUUUGGCGGGGGAAUGGCUCACCCAGGCGACGAUCCGUACCUGGUCUCAGAGGAUGAUCGGCCACACUGUAACUGAGACACGGUCGAGACUCCUACGGUAGGCAGCAGUGGGGAAUAUUAAGCAAUGGGCGCAAGCCUGACACAGCCAUACCGCGUGAGUGAAGAAGGCCUUCGGAUUGUAAAGCUCUUUUGUUGGGAAAGAAGUAGUUUGUGAUAAUAGCCUCGGAGCAUGACGGUACCCAAAGAAAAAGCCCCGGCUAACUUCGUG
rnacentral:rRNA from 1 species